rnacentral:rRNA from 1 species
GAUGAACGCUGGCGGCGUGCCUAAUACAUGCAAGUCGAGCGAAUGGAUUAAGAGCUUGCUCUUAUGAAGUUAGCGGCGGACGGGUGAGUAACACGUGGGUAACCUGCCCAUAAGACUGGGAUAACUCCGGGAAACCGGGGCUAAUACCGGAUAACAUUUUGAACCGCAUGGUUCGAAAUUGAAAGGCGGCUUCGGCUGUCACUUAUGGAUGGACCCGCGUCGCAUUAGCUAGUUGGUGAGGUAACGGCUCACCAAGGCAACGAUGCGUAGCCGACCUGAGAGGGUGAUCGGCCACGCUGGGACUGCGACACGGCCCAGACUCCUACCGGAGGCAGCAGUAGGGAAUCUUCCGCAAUGGACGAAAGUCUGACGGAGCAACGCCGCGUGAGUGAUGAAGGCUUUCGGGUCGUAAAACUCUGUUGUUAGGGAAGAACAAGUGCUAGUUGAAUAAGCUGGCACCUUGACGGUACCUAACCAGAAAGCCACGGCUAACUACGUGCCAGCCGCCGCCGUAA